GCCCGGAUGGCGAAACUGGUAGACGCACCGGACUUAAAAUCCGUUGGCCGCAAGGUCGUGCCGGUUCGAUUCCGGCUCCGGGCA
rnacentral:tRNA from 1 species